UGCAGUAGCGGUUCUAGGCACGGGCGAACAGGGCAGCCGCCCGGGGCGGCAUUUGUGUCAUGACUCAUGGGGGGCGGCACGAGCACUUCCAAAAAAAUAAAAUAAAAGAUAAUAAUAAUAAAUCUUAACUGCAAAGCGGUUAUUUAUUAACUCUUGUUGUCAAAUUGGCGACCCCCCACUGCUGCAGGCGCCCCUGCUUGCUCCGAAGGUGCUGCACAGAGGCUGACAGACUGUAGGAGACGAGGCGGGGAGAGAGUCGCGAGGUGACAGCUCUGCUCUGUGUACGCAUGUCAGCAUAUCAGCGGGAGCGCGGAUACGUCAUUUUGUAGUUUUUUAAUCAUUUCUGGAGUCGCGGUGAAUGAAAUCACCGUACCCGUCUGCCUUUGAUAGGCGAAUAAAGCGCUCGGGUUCAUGCUCGGAUCUUGCUACGUGCUUGAUGAGCUUCAUGAGUGAAGUAAACAAUGACUGAGGCAGAGAGCAGCUUCAGAGGAGAAACAUCCAGCAGUGUGAACAACCUCUUCAUAGGGAGUGAUUUGGCUCACACUAUCAGCGUUUUCUCUCAGUGUUGCAUGACUUUGGGUGAGCACAGAGGUGAACACACUGUCAGCCACGUAUUUAUUUAUUCAUUUUUUAGUUUUUAGUUCUGCUUUUGUACUGGCACUAUACUGGGGCAGCUGUUUACCCUUUCAACACCUUAUUUUCUAUAUUUACAUUUGUAUUGAAUGGACACUUUAUCAUGACUGCCACUUGUUUUACAGAAAGCAAAUUAUUUGUCAUUCUCCAGUGCAGAGCCUUUACUUUUAUUUAUACAGCCGCUUUAUUUCAUUUGAGUUUGUUUGUUCAAGGUUUUCAAAAAUGUGAUGAAGGUUCGCAAAACUAAAAGAGAGCUUUCUUGAAAGCCACAUGUAUAAGCUCUCAAAUACUUUUUGAAUUUUGUUUCUAUCGACUACAGAGGCCGAGAUAGCAGCUUUUUUGUAAACCUCAACACUUCAGAAAACCUCAGGAUCUGGGGGCCCUUCUGAAAAUGGCCCUCAGGAUUGUGUUUUUUUCUAUUGAAGGAUUUCUGCAAUUGAGAAAUAUAUCAUCUUUGUUGUUAUAAUAAUAAUAAUAAUAAUACAUAGUAAUACAAAACUAUCUGUUCAAAAUUCUAGUGUUUGUGUGUGUGUGUGUGUGUGUGGGGGGGGGGGGGUGGGGGGUGGGGGGGGUGCACUUGGAGGGGUGCUCGCCCGGGGAGUAAUUUGGUCUAGAACCGCCACUGUCUUUCUGCAUCUUGAAAUUACUUCAGGUGUAUUGUUUAAUGAUAUUUCAGAUCAUCUCCCUGUUUUCCAUUUAAUUCAUGUUAAAAAAUAGUAUGAUAAGAAAUAAUUCUGUACAAGAAAAGUUUAGUUAUCGUAAUUACUCCAAAAGAAAUGUGGACUCCUUCAUAUCUUCUUUUCAGGGUGUUUCAUGGGAUGCAGUCCUAAAUCUGAACGAUGUGGAGAAGGCUUACCAGGUAUUUCUGUCACUUUUUAAUCCUGUUUUUGAGGAAUGCUUCCCUUUGGUCACCUCGGGGAAAGAGAAAAAAAUGUUUCAAAUCGAAUCCCUAGUUUACACCAGAAUUAAGAAAAUGUUCUCUUUUAAUAAAGAAAUUAUAUAAAAAAUCUAUUCUGAGUCCCACUCCCUAUAAUGUAGACACUUACAAGAAGCACAAAAAUAAAUUAACGAAUUAUUAAGGUUAGCAAAAAAGCAAUACUUCACUGAUAAAUUCAAUAAAGCUUCCAAUGACAUUAAGUCCACUUGGGGUGUUAUCAACCAAAUAUUACAACGUAAAAAACAGAAUUUAACUGUUCUGAGCUCUUGGGAAAUGAAGGUUCUCCUCUCAAUCAAAUUUAAAUAGUUAAUGGUUUGAAUGAUUAUUUUGUUAAUAUUGGCCUCUCGUUGGCAGAUAACAUAGAGGAUUCUGAUGAGAGCCCAUGUAGUUUGAUUAAGGGUCAGUUCUCUCCACUUUGCAGUUUUGCUCCUCCCAGUGUUGAAGAGGUGCGUGGUAUUGUCUUAAACUUAAAAAACUCUGCAGAAGGCCACGAUGGGUUUAGAAGCAGUUUUAUUAAACAAAUCAUAGAUUAUAUCAUUCAACCCUUAACCAAUAUUUUUGGUUUAUCCUUACAAUCUGGAAUUAUUCCCAAAGAAUUUAAAAUUGCUUAAGUUAUACCAUUACAUAAAUCAGGAGAUUCUAACCAGUUUGGCAAUUAUCGGCCUACAUCUAUUCUUCCCUGUUUCUCAAAAAUUAUCGAGAAACUCAUCUAUGUGAGAAUUUCAGCCCAAUUACUUAAGAACAACAUCCUGUACUCCCAUCAAUAUGGUUUUCAAAAGAAAUACUCUACUGAACUAGCCCUGUUACAACUUGUCAACAAUUUCUCCUCUGCAAUGGAUGAGAAGAAAUUUGUUCUUGGGGUUUUCCUCAACUUAACAAAAGCUUUUGAUACUGUUAAUCAUAAAAUUCUCCUUUCUAAGCUCAGAAGAUAUGGUGUACAGGAUGUGGCUCCCAACUAUCUAGAGGACAGACUUCAAUAUGUAGCCAUAAAUGGUUGCAUAUCGGCAGUAGCGGUUCUAGGCACGGGCGAACAGGGCAGCCGCCCGGGGCGGCAUUUGUGUCAUGACUCAUGGGGGGCGGCACGAGCACUUCCAAAAAAAUAAAAUAAAAGAUAAUAAUAAUAAAUCUUAACUGCAAAGCGGUAAUUUAUUAACUCUUGUUGUCAAAUUGGCGACCCCCCGCUGCUGCAGGCGCCCCUGCUUGCUCCGAAGGUGCUGCACAGAGGCUGACAGACUGUAGGAGACGAGGCGGGGAGAGAGUCGCGAGGUGACAGCUCUGCUCUGUGUACGCAUGUCAGCAUAUCAGCGGGAGCGCGGAUACGUCAUUUUGUAGUUUUUUAAUCAUUUCUGGAGUCGCGGUGAAUGAAAUCACCGUACCCGUCUGCCUUUGAUAGGCGAAUAAAGCGCUCGGGUUCAUGCUCGGAUCUUGCUACGUGCUUGAUGAGCUUCAUGAGUGAAGUAAACAAUGACUGAGGCAGAGAGCAGCUUCAGAGGAGAAACAUCCAGCAGUGUGAACAACCUCUUCAUAGGGAGUGAUUUGGCUCACACUAUCAGCGUUUUCUCUCAGUGUUGCAUGACUUUGGGUGAGCACAGAGGUGAACACACUGUCAGCCACGUAUUUAUUUAUUCAUUUUUUAGUUUUUAGUUCUGCUUUUGUACUGGCACUAUACUGGGGCAGCUGUUUACCCUUUCAACACCUUAUUUUCUAUAUUUACAUUUGUAUUGAAUGGACACUUUAUCAUGACUGCCACUUGUUUUACAGAAAGCAAAUUAUUUGUCAUUCUCCAGUGCAGAGCCUUUACUUUUAUUUAU
rnacentral:lncRNA from 1 species